rnacentral:rRNA from 1 species
GACGAACGCUGGCGGCGUGCUUAACACAUGCAAGUCGAACGGAAAGGCCCUGCUUGCAGGGUGCUCGAGUGGCGAACGGGUGAGUAACACGUGGGUGAUCUGCCCCUUACUUUGGGAUAAGCCUGGGAAACUGGGUCUAAUACUGGAUAGGACCAUGCUGUAGGUGGUGUGGUGGAAAGAUUAGUUUCGGUAAGGGAUGAGCUCGCGGCCUAUCAGCUUGUUGGUGGGGUAAUGGCCUACCAAGGCGUCGACGGGUAGCCGGCCUGAGAGGGUGGACGGCCACAUUGGGACUGAGGUACGGCCCAGACGCCUACGGGAGGCAGCAGUGGGGAAUAUUGCACAAUGGGCGCAAGCCUGAUGCAGCGACGCCGCGUGGGGGAUGACGGCCUUCGGGUUGUAAACUCCUUUCAGCCAUGACGAAGCCCUUGUGGUGACGGUAGUGGUAGAAGAAGCACCGGCUAACUACGUG